GUGCCUCGACCAGCUGAGAGCGCGACAGGAGGUGCACGUGGACGUCGAUGGCUCCCGCCGUCAGGAUCCGCCCCUCGCCGGCGAUCACGUCCGUGCCCGGGCCGAUCACGAGGUCCGGGUGCACCCCGUCGGCGAUGUCCGGAUUGCCGGACCGACCCAGCGCGACGAUCCGGCCGGCCCGGAUGCCGACGUCCGCCUUGACGAUGCCCCAGUGGUCGAGCACGAGGGCGUUGGUGAUGACGGUGUCGAGCGCACCCUCGGCGGACGACCGGAUGGACUGGGCCAUCGACUCAC
rnacentral:sRNA from 1 species